rnacentral:tRNA from 1 species
GCCUCGGUAGCUCAGCUCGGUAGAGCGGCGGCCUUGUAAGCCGUUGGUCGCGGGUUCAAAUCCCGCCCGAGGCUCCA